CAACCUCAACUCAUAUGGGACUACCCCCUGAAUUUAAGCAUAUUAAUUAGGGGAGGAAAAGAAACUAACAAGGAUUUUCUUAGUAGCGGCGAGCGAAAAGAAAUCAGUUCAGCACUAAGUCACUUUGUCUAUAUGGCAAAUGUGAGAUGCAGUGUAUGGAGCGUCAAUAUUCUAGUAUGAGAAAUUAACGAUUUAAGUCCUUCUUAAAUGAGGCCAUUUACCCAUAGAGGGUGCCAGGCCCGUAUAACGUUAAUGAUUACUAGAUGAUGUUUCCAAAGAGUCGUGUUGCUUGAUAGUGCAGCACUAAGUGGGUGGUAAACUCCAUCUAAAACUAAAUAUAACCAUGAGACCGAUAGU
rnacentral:ncRNA from 1 species